CGGCACGGGUGAGUAACACGUAUCCAACCUGCCGUCUACUCUUGGACAGCCUUCUGAAAGGAAGAUUAAUACAAGAUGGCAUCAUGAGUCCACAUGUUCACAUGAUUAAAGGUAUUCCGGUAGACGAUGGGGAUGCGUUCCAUUAGAUAGUAGGCGGGGUAACGGCCCACCUAGUCUUCGAUGGACAGGGGUUCUGAGAGGAAGGUCCCCCACAUUGGAACUGAGACACGGUCCAA
rnacentral:rRNA from 1 species